AAACGAGUGCCCCGAGCGUUAUCCGGAAUUAUUGGGCGUAAAGGGUGUGUAGGCGGGUUUAUUAGUCUUUUGUUAAAGCCUCUGGCUCAACCAGAGAAUCGCGAAAGAAACGGUAAACCUAGAGGGUGUGAGAGGUGUACGGAACUCAUGGUGUAGGGGUGAAAUCCGUUGAUAUCAUGGGGAACACCGAAAGCGAAGGCAGUACACUGGCGCAUUCCUGACGCUGAGGCACGAAAGCGUGGGUAGCGAAUGGGAUUAGAAACCCUAGUAGUCC
rnacentral:rRNA from 1 species